GACGAACGCUGGCGGCGUGCUUAACACAUGCAAGUCGAACGGGCCCGCCCCUGUUUUUGGGGGUGGGUUGAGUGGCGAACGGGUGAGUAUCACGUGAGUAACCUGCCCCCUGCUCCUGGAUAACUGCUUGAAAGGGCGGCUAAUACGGGGUGUGCCGGCUGUUCCGCAUGGGCCUGGUCGGGAUAGUUUCAUCUUCGGGUGUUUCGGUGGGGGAUGGGCUCGCGGCCUAUCAGCUUGUUGGUGGGGUGAUGGCCCACCAAGGCGGUGACGGGUAGCCGGCCUGAGAGGGUGGGAGGCCGGAAUGGUCAGAGGCACCGCCCAGACUCCGGCGGGAGGCGGCGGGGGGGUGUAUUGAACAAUGGGCGGAAGCCUGAUGCAGCGACGUCGCGUGAGGGAUGGAGGCCUUCGGGUUGGGAACCUCUUUCGCCGGGGGUGAAGGCCCUGUCCGUUGCGGCGGGGUUGACGGUAGCCGGGGAUGAAGCGCCGGCUAACUACGUG
rnacentral:rRNA from 1 species